rnacentral:lncRNA from 1 species
CACCCAGGCUAUAGUGCAAUGGCGUGAUCUCAGCUCACUGCAACCUCCACCUCCCUGAUUCAAGUGAUUCUCCUGCCUCAGCCUUCUGAGUAGCUGGGAUUAUAGGCGCGCGCCACCACGCCCAGCUAAUUUUUGUAUUUUAAUAGAGACGGGGUUUCACCAUAUUGGCCAGGCUGGUCUCCGAGCUCCUGACCUCAGGUGAUCCGCCUGCUUUGGCCUCUCAAAGUGCUGGGAUUAUAGGCGUGAGCCACCGCGUCCGGCCCAGGGACACGAUUAUUAAAGGGCAGAGAGCCAGACUGGGGAGGCAGGUGUGCUCCAUUCCCAAGCCCAUGCUUGCCCUGGCUCUGCCGGGAAGACAGUAGGUGCUUUGCUUCCUGAGAAAGGUCAGGAAGAGGCGUGGCUCCUCCAGCUGUACAGACGACCAGGCCAGAUCCACAUGGCCCCGUUUGGUGCUUGGAUGUCUGGUAAACUGCCUGCCAAGGAGGAACGCAGAGGUGAAGCACCUGGUCCGACCCAUCAUUUCACGCUGAAUCGCCUGUUGACCCAUCUCACUUGACUGACUCCUGGGAUGGAGGCCUGGCUCCCUCCAAGGCAGCCCCUUGCGUUGGAAGAAAGGCAAUGGUGUGAAGCCUGUCUGGUUGUACCCUCCAGCUGCGGGUCCUUACUCCAGCUCUCAGAACCAGAAGGAAUCUGUCUAAUUGCUCAUCUACUGGAGAGCCCUUGAGAGGGGCUUCUUCAAGGUCCUGGGAACUCCAGAAUGUUCCCCUCCACUUAAAAAACACAAGGAUGGUCUCCAGGCACCUGAGGAAACACAGUCUCCUGCCCUUUAGGAUCAGCCACCUCUGAGGCCAAGACCUGACCCAGAUUCCGGUACCCUUCACAGAAGGAGCCACCACAGUGGAGAAGGAAGCUCAUGGCUUUUGGGCAAGAGCCUCUUUGAAAAGGAGGAAGAGCUCGCAAAGGGUGACGGCAGAGAGAUGCCCAGAAUCUUGCAGGAGGAAGGAGAAUGCAGCCUAACUUGCUGGAAGGAUUCAGGAGACGUGUGAGUAAGAGCCAAGAUUUCCCAGAUCAGCCUACAGCCAAGAUAAGCACAGCUUUCUACCCAACCUGCACCUCACCACAGAGAAUGGAAGAAUCACUCAGCCAUCCUGUAUAUUGUAGCAAUAAUGUAUGGUUAUUUUUUCUAGGCACUGAGUUUUGGGAUGAUUUGUUAUGCAGCAACAGCUGGCUGCUACAGAGAUUGUGCCCACCCUCACAGCCCCCUGGAUCUGUGUGCUCGCACUGAGUUUUGGGAUGAUUUGUUAUGCAGCAACAGCUGGCUGCUACAGAGAUUGUGCCCACCCUCACAGCCCCCUGGAUCUGUGUGCUCUCACUGAAAAGCAAAAGUAACUUCUGUUUUUCUCUUCUCUGUGGCCACCAGGGCUGCUGCCCAAACAGAAAGGCAAUUUGCUUAGUGGUGGAGGUUGUGACCUCCAGAGUCAGACAGUCCUGGAAUCCUAUCCCAGCUGUGUGACCUGCAGUUGGCUUCUUAACCACUCUGUGCCUCAGUGUCUCCAUCUACAAAAGGCACAGUUUCUACCCCAUCAGGUUGUGGUAAGGACUAGAAAAGACAUUGGAAGUAAAGUGCAUGACACCAAAGUGCUCCAAAUGACAUUUUUUGUUGUUUAUUUGUGGUAGUUGAUGUUCAUAUUUUCCCAAAAAAGCCUCUUCUUAUCUUCAUCAGCCCAGAUUGCCUGAAUUUUUUGCCAGGAUAUCUUCCCAGUGGAGGGAGACAAGCUAGAAUUGGUAGCCACAUGCCUUUGGUGCAGAUUUCACAAACACUGUGAUUUUUGGCAAGCAGAGUCUGCCAGUUGCAUAGGAACAAGCCUGCCUGAUAACAUCCCAGUUUAACCAUCUCCAAAGCACUUUCAUAUCCAUGCUCAGAUUUGAAAGCCUCACAAGAAUCCUGGGAGGUGGGCAAGGCAGGAGCUGGCAGCCCCAUUUUAUAGACGAAGACACUGAGGUUUAGAGAGUUCCCCUGACUUGCAGAAGUUAAAAUGUGGCCCAGGUUAUCUGGUCACAGAGGAGAGCUGCCCCUGUCCUGGGCCACUCAACCUCUCCCACAGGGACAGAUCUCAGCCGUGGAGAUGCUGGAAAGAGCUCUGGAAUCCCUGAUGAGGGGCUACACCCUAGAGUCCUAAAUGUCCCUCUGUAGAAUACGAUUUUAUUCCCUGAGCAGGAGGGAUCUCUUCCUCUCCCUGUGCCAGCGGAGUAGUUUGGGAGUUAUAGUGGGAGAUCUCUUUAGUAUUUAGCAAAAUCAGGAUUUUAAAUUUAAUGGUGAUUAGGCAGGGUCCCUUCACACUGUCUAUCACCCCCGACAGAGUUAAAACAUCAAUAACAAUGCGGGUCCCAAUGGAGAUCCUUGUCCCCAGCGUCAUGAUGUCCAGGGAGCCUGGUUAUGGAUGUAGCCAGCUGUCUCACUGACUCUCUCCUUUGGGUUUAGCCUCACCUGCCAGCUCACUGGGUGUAAACAGGAGGUGGAGGGGUUCUUGCUGUGUGUUAUGUAUUUAUUCAUGGGUUUACUUAGUUGCUUCUCUACAAAACCAAACAUUGCCCCCUUUUUACCUCUUCUUCCCAAAAGUUACUUUCAGAGUUUGCCAAGAAGCCUGGAAAGUUGUUAUGGCUUCAGGAAGGCCCAAAACACAACCGAAAAACAAAAACCAAAAACACAGUGCAGCAAUAUUAAACAGCAUUGUGGAAAGAACUGCCCUGUAAAAUGGCUUUUGUGUUGGCCAGCUCCCUUCCAUAGCGGGUAGACUAUUAAAUGGGUGUAGCCAGAAGGAAUGGGCCAUUUUGCCGUCUACUCUCUUCCCUUACUAUUCUAUCAUAAGCAUUUUCCUUGUUGCAGCACAUUAAAUUAUGGUGUAUGCACCAGUAGAAUUUUAGACAGUCAUGAAAAAAAUGAUUAUUACAAAGAACAGAUUGUUUCUUGGAAUGCACCUUCCUGAUGAGGCAGCACCCUUUCUCAUUCUGUGCUUUGUAAAAAUUGCAAACUGGCUACCAGGCCUCAGAUGUCCCCCAGAGCUCCCUGUCUGAGGACAGAGCAAGGUAGAAAUCAUCUCAAACCAAGCUGAGCCCUGUGGUCUGGAGUGUCCCAGCUACAGGCAUAGUAUGCACCCUGCCCAGACCCCUGGCAAGCCCCUAUGCCCAGUCCCCCCUUCACACUCAUUUUUGGGUUGGUGCUGCUUUCUAGUUUUUCUCUCUGAUCUGUUACUCUCCUAGAACGUAAGGGCCUGGGAGGCAGGAAUCUCAGUUUAUCAGACUCUCCCGUUAUCCUUGUAUAAUAUUUGCAUUAAUGGGGACAAUGAUGGUGUUGAUGAUGGUAGGAGGAAGUUUAGUGCCUGGUAAAGCACUUUGGGACCCACAGACUGGAGUUAGGUCCCAGGACCCUCACUGACCAUCUUGCUUUGACGCUUUUGACCUUGACUUACACGAGCAUCAUCUCUGAUCCUCAUCACUGCUUUGAGAUGGUGAAAUUAUCAUCAUCCCCAUUUUUGAAGCUGAAGAAACUGAGGCACAGUUUAAGUAGCUGCUUCCAAUGUGAUAGAGUGAAUGAGGGUUAGAGAAACCUGGAUUCAAAGCCUGCCUCCACCCGCUACUGUCUGAUGCUGGCAAGUUUUGCAACCUCUCUGCACCUCCCUGUCCUCAGCCAGCCCCUGCACGGGCUUAAUAAAUUCUAACCACUCAUCCCUUCCCACAUGCUGUGAGCAAAUAACUGCUUGGGAGCUACUGGGCUCCGGGCAGAGAGCAGCUCUGCCUGAGUCACUCCGGAGCAACUGGUAUUGAUUGGGUGGGCACACCACCAGUGGCUGGCAGGGUGGGCCCCUAACCUCUGCCACCCCCGCCUAGGCCUCUUGUUCCUCUGUCUCCAAUCUCAUCCCACCAUGGCUGUGAAGAACAAGCCCACCUUCCUGCCUCAUGCCCUUCUCUGGGUCCUCUCAGCCACAGCAGCCCCCAACCUGCAUUUUCACCCUCCUCCAAACAGGCACUCCAUGGAGGGUCUGCCCUCAGCCCUGCAUUGCUGAGAGAGCCUCACUGGAGGCAGGGGACAACUGAGGGGUCCUAGACAGGAUGCUCUCAGGAGAUGG